rnacentral:misc_RNA from 1 species
GAUGAAGAACGUAGCGAAAUGCGAUAAGUAAUGUGAAUUGCAGAAUUCAGUGAAUCAUCGAAUCUUUGAACGCACCUUGCGCCCUUUGGCCAUUCCGAAGGGCAUGCCUGUUUGAGUAUCAUGAACACCUCAACUCUUCAUGGUUUUCCGUGAUGAGCUUGGACUUUGGGGGUCUUGCUGGCCUAUGGUCAGCUCCUCUAAAAUAAAUCAGCUUGCCAGUGUUUGGUGGGUAUCACAGGUGUGAUAACUAUCUACGCUUGUGGUUUUCACCAGGUAACCUUCAGCAGUGGAGGUUCGCUGGAGCUCACAGAUGUGUCUCUCCUCAGUGAGGACAGCUCUUUGAAUGUUUGAUCUCAAAUCAGGUAGGACUACCCGCUGAACUUAAGCAUAUCAAUAAGCGGAGGA